rfam:Solirubrobacterales bacterium 67-14 SCNpilot_bf_inoc_scaffold_31, whole genome shotgun sequence.
GGAGAGGUGUCCGAGCGGCUUAAGGAGCGCGAUUGGAAAUCGCGUGGGCGGGAUCUCUCGCCUCGUGGGUUCGAAUCCCACCCUCUCCG